AAUGAACGCUGGCGGCAGGCUUAACACAUGCAAGUCGAACGAGGGGCGGACGGGAGAGUAAUGUGUGGGAAUCUCGCUUAUGGAGGGGGAUAACUACGGGAAACGGUAGCUAAUACCGCGUACCAUAGGCUGAGACCAGGUGGGAUUAGGUAGUUGGUGAGGUAAAGGCUAACCAAGGCGACGAUCUCUAGCUGGUCUGAGAGGAUGAUCGGCCACACUGGGACUGAGACACGGCCCAGACUCCUACGGGAGGCAGCAGUAGGGAAUAUUCCGCAAUGGGCGCAAGCCUGACGGAGCAACGCCACGUGAGUGAAGAAGGCCUUAGGGUCGUAAAGUUCUUUCAGUGGGGAGGCGUUACCCAAACAGAAAGCCCCGGCUAACUCCGUGCCAGCAGCCGCGGUAAUAC
rnacentral:rRNA from 1 species